rnacentral:rRNA from 1 species
AACGUAGGACGCGAGCGUUAUCCGGAGUUACUGGGCGUAAAGCGCGGGCAGGCGGUUGGACAAGUGGGGUGUGAAAGCGCUGGGCUAAACCGAGCGAGGCCAUUCCAAACUGUUCAACUGGAGGGCAGUAGAGGUAGGUAGAAUUCCGGGUGGAGUGGUGAAAUGCGUAGAGAUCCGGAGGAAUACCAGAGGCGAAGGCGGCCUACUGGGCUGCACCUGACGCUGAGCCGCGAAAGCCAGGGGAGCGAACGGG